UCAUAAACCUAAACCUAAAACGGCAAAGCCUGACGUCAAAAACACAAAAGAGUUAAACACGAGCGCCGAUCUGUAACUCCAUCUUGACACAAAAGCAGAGAUGAGUUCUAAGAUCAGAUCCCGCCGUUAGAUCGAGUCAUGGUCUUGUCUUAUCGAAAGGUUCAUGGUCUUAUUUUCCAUGUUCGGGCCCAAUUUUCACCAGCCGUGUGUCUCUUUCGUCCUGUCCGUCCCGAUUGUUUUUGGUGUCAUCGGAAUAUUGAGAUAUCUUUCCAAGAUAACCAACAAGGUUUUGUUGUGAUUUUUCUCUCCAAGCGAAUUUUUCAUUUACUUACAUCUAACCACUCACCAUUCUAAGUCCAACAUAGCGGAUUCUAAGUCCAACAUAGCGGAUUCUAAGUCCAACAUAGCGUAGUGGUAUUUUCUAGUAAAGAAAUACUAGAAAAUUUAUUAGAUAUAUUCCAGGAUAUGCAAAAUAGUUAUAUUUUCUAAACACCUUGGAUUGUAUAGAGUGAAAGCAUGUUGUUAGUAGAAUGGUAUAACUGCAACAUUUGAGGAGCAAUCCACUCUAUAAAGAACUGGAUUCUUAUUUAUAUCAGCUGACUGCUCUCAAGGUUUCUUAUAAUAAUCAUAUUUUAGGAUAUGCAAAAAAAAUUGUAACUUUUGAUUUGUAAUCAAACUGUAUUUUCUAAUACAUUUGUUUUGUAAUU